GACGAACCGUGCGAACGUUGUUCGGAAUCACUGGGCUUAACGGGCGCGUAGGCGGGUCUCCCAGUCAGGGGUGAAAUCCUCCGGCCCAACCGGAGAAGUGCUUUUGAUACUGGGGACCUCGAGGGGUGCAGGGGCAUGUGGAACUUCCGGUGGAGCGGUGAAAUGCGUAGAUAUCGGAAGGAACGCCGGUGGCGAAAGCGACGUGCUGGACACCUUCUGACGCUGAGGCGCGAAAGCCAGGGGAGCAAACGGG
rnacentral:rRNA from 1 species